AACCGCUUUAAACUCAAAAGACUUGGCAGUAUCUCAUACACCUAGAGGAGCCUGUCCUAUAACCGAUAACCCACGAUCAACCUUACCCACCCUUGCACAAACCAGCCUAUAUACCUCCGUCGCCAGUACGCCUGUUAACAGUUACAAAAGCGUAUAUAAUAGUCUACCACUAACACGACAGGUCAAGGUGUAGCUAAUGGGCGGGACAGAGAUGGGCUACAUUUUCUUCACUAGAAAACACCCAACAUGUAAUGAAA
rnacentral:rRNA from 1 species